rnacentral:rRNA from 1 species
CCGGGUUACUCACCCCUUUUCACGGCGCGACGUGGAAUAGGGGUUGAAGGGGCUGGAACGGCGGCCGGGCGGGACGGGUCGUGCGGCGGGUGAACGGCAGGGGCUGCACUGCGGCGGGCACGUGGAAGGGUCGUGCGGCGGCCUGGCGGAAGGCGUCGAGCGGUGGCAGGGGUGGAGGGAGGGCGCCGUCUUCGCGACGGCGGGGGUAGAGGGAGGGGCCGUCUGCGUGGAGGCGGGAGUGGAGGGAGGGGCUGUCUGCGUAGCAACACUGAGGUGGAGGACCGACCCGGCGGCGCUCGGAGGUGGAGGGCCGAAGGGCCGCGGCGGGGCAAACGGAGGAGGGCACCGGGGCGAGUUAGGUCGGGGCGGCAGAAGGGGCACGCUCGGUUGGUCCGGUCUGCCGGUGGGGACGUUCGUGAGCCGGAGCCACAAAAGAACCACCUCUGAUCCUCGUCGCUGUCUCUGCGGCGGGGCUCCGCCUUAGGGACGCAGGCGAACCAAGGCAGGUGCCGUCGUGUCGUGGAGAGGGGCAGUAGGUGGACGGUUCAAGUACAGCUGUCGAAGGUAAAGUCGGCAACUUCGACGUCUACCUCGCGCUGUACGUCGUCAUAGCGGGGUUGUCCGUACGUUGUGGCUGCUGCCGUCCCACACCGCACGCAGACAGGCCGUACGACCCGCACCACGGCUCCCCCGACGUCAAACUUAACCCACUCCCAAUUUCAAAUCCAUUACGAUAACAGACCACCGUUUCCUGGUACGUCCGACAAAGCAAUGACUUUUUUACGCACUACUUUUCCUUGUUCUAAAAAAGUUACUUGAGGA